UUGUCCUCAUUAUUGGAUUGGCAUCAGGGACAAGGACUGAGCUUUCAGCAGCACAAGUACACACAAAUUAUCUUCAGUUCAAGGUUGGUUGAAUCCAUGUAUGAAGAACCCAUGGACAUGGAGGGCCAACUGCAUAUGGUAUUUUUGUUCCUGAGGGUUGAACACACGGCUGUUUUAACACUGAGCUACAAACUGAGCCUUUUUUUAUUGUUUUCUCUUUUGUUGGUACUAGGGAUUGAGCCCAUGGGGGCUUUACCACUGAGCUCCAUCCCCAGUCCUUUUAAUUUUUUAUUUUGAGAUGGGGUCUUGCUAAGUUGCUCAGACUGCCCUUGAAUGUGGGAUCCUCCUGCCCUAGUCUCCUGAGUUGCUGGAAUUACAGGCAUGUGUGCACCACAGUGUCCCACCCAACUGCAUAUGUUAAGUGACCUGUAAAAGUUAAUGUUCCUUGAGUGCUUUAAGAAUUCAUGGGGUCAUGGUACUGGAGAUAGAGUCACCCUGAGGGCCUCAUCUGGGCACUCAGAUUUGUUUGGGUGGCACUGACCUUUGAUUCUGUGUUCCUGGGAGAGCACAACAAAUAGUGACAUAUUUCAUUCUCACAUACAAUAAAGGUUGAUUUUACUAGUGGAAA